GACAGACACAGACUUUUAAAACCUCUCUGAGCCCUUUCGGUUUAACCACAAACAGUUGUAAAGUCGCUACCGCUAAACCCACCAGACUCCAUUUAAAAAA